rnacentral:rRNA from 1 species
AAAGGAAUUGACGGGGGCCCGCACAAGCGGUGGAGUAUGUGGUUUAAUUCGAAGCAACGCGAAGAACCUUACCAGGGCUUGACAUCCCUUGUCGCCUCAGAAAUGAGGUUUCCCUUCGGGGCAAGGAGACAGGUGGUGCAUGGUUGUCGUCAGCUCGUGUCGUGAGAUGUUGGGUUAAGUCCCGCAACGAGCGCAACCCCUACACUGUGUUGCCAUCACUUUGGGUGGGCACUCACAGAGGACUGCCGGUGACAAACCGGAGGAAGGUGGGGAUGACGUCAAAUCAUCAUGCCCCUUAUGUCCUGGGCUACACACGUACUACAAUGGCCGGUACAGACGGAAGCGAACUCGCGAGGGGGAGCGAAUCCGAGAAAGCCGGUCUCAGUUCGGAUUGCAGGCUGCAACUCGCCUGCAUGAAGGCGGAAUCGCUAGUAAUCGCAGGUCAGCAUACUGCGGUGAAUACGUUCCCGGGCCUUGUACACACCGCCCGU